rnacentral:misc_RNA from 1 species
CAGGGUUUCCAAGACUCCCUCACCACUGUGAACCUACCCUAAGCCGUUGCUUCGGCGGGCCGGCCCCAGGCCGCUCGGGCCCCUCCGGGGGCGCCCGCCGGAGGUACCCAAACCACUGACGCUUUGUGGCCUCUCCGAGUAACUGUACCGAAUAAGUCA